rnacentral:rRNA from 1 species
AGUGAACGCUGGCGGCAUGCCUAACACAUGCAAGUCGAACGGCAGCACAGUGACAGCUUGCUCUUACGGGUGUCGCGUGGCGGACGGUUGCGUAAUACAUCGGAAUCUACUUUUUCAGGGGGGCUAACAUCGGGAAACUUACGCUAAUACCGCAUACAACGUCCGUGUGAAAGCACGGGAUGUACUGACCUGUCGCUAGUGAAUGAGCCGACCUUGGCGUAGCUCGUUGGCGGGGUAGAGGCGCAACAAGGCGACGAUCCGUAGCUGGCCCGAGAGGGACAUCCCACACCCUGGCACUGAGACACGGCCCAGACUCCUACGGGAGGCAGCAGUGCGGAAUAUUAGACAAUGGGCGCAAGCCUGAUCUAGCCAUACCGCGUGGGUGAAGAAGGCCUUCGGGUGGUAGAGCCCUUUUGUUGGUAAAGAAAAGAAGCAGGUUAAUCCCCCGCUGUUAUGACGGUACCCAAAGAAUAAGCACCGGCUAACUCCGUG